rnacentral:rRNA from 1 species
CACGCCGUAAACGAUGGGUGCUAGGUGUCGCGGGUUUUGACCCCUGCGGUGCCGUAGCUAACGCAUUAAGCACCCCGCCUGGGGAGUACGGCCGCAAGGCUAAAACUCAAAGGAAUUGACGGGGGCCCGCACAAGCGGUGGAGCAUGUGGUUCAAUUCGACGCAACGCGCAGAACCUUACCUGGGCUAGAAAAUGCAGGAACCUGGUUGAAAAGUCGGGGUGCUCUUCGGAGAACCUGUAGUUAGGUGC